GACGAACGCUGGCGGCGUGCUUAACACAUGCAAGUCGAACGGAAAGGCCCCCUUGUGGGGUACUCGAGUGGCGAACGGGUGAGUAACACGUGAGUAACCUACCCUUGACUUUGGGAUAACUUCAGGAAACUGGGGCUAAUACCGGAUAGGAGCUCCUGCUGCAUGGUGGGGGUUGGAAAGUUUCGGCGGUUGGGGAUGGACUCGCGGCUUAUCAGCUUGUUGGUGGGGUAGUGGCUCACCAAGGCUUUGACGGGUAGCCGGCCUGAGAGGGUGACCGGCCACAUUGGGACUGAGAUACGGCCCAGACUCCUACGGGAGGCAGCAGUGGGGAAUAGUGCACAAUGGGCGGAAGCCUGAUGCAGCAACGCCGCGUGCGGGAUGACGGCCUUCGGGUUGUAAACCGCUUUCGCCUGUGACGAAGCGUGAGUGACGGUAAUGGGUAAAGAAGCACCGGCUAACUACGUG
rnacentral:rRNA from 1 species